AUCAUUUCUUCAUCAAAGUUGUUAAUCUCUGUCUCUUAUAUCUUAUCUCCAAAUUUCAGCCCUGUUGGAGCAGUUUUGAGACCUGUAUAACAUUUGAAGUGCGAUCUGUUCAGAAGCAAAUUUGCUCCGAAUUUCAACAAGAUGUCGAAUGAACCUAGACUCGAUUUUCCAAUGCUUGACUCAACAGGCUCGGAAUACCAUGGCUGGGUAACCAACGUUGAGAACCAUCUCACUACGAGAGGGAUAUUGCCCAUAAUACAGGCACCUAACCAGGGCCUUGUGUUCCAACGAACACCCACAAAGCAUGCUGCUCAAGUAAUUAUCUUGAUGUGAUACCAUAUGGAUCAAUUGAAGCAUUGGUUCAAGCAAUGCCAUGCAAGUACCCAACUAGCUGCAAGCUACAAGGAGUAUAGGCAAUUGAGAGAGCAAGAAAUCAAUCUUGCUGAAGAUGAAGAUAUCAAUCUUGCUGAAGAUGAAGAUGGUGAAGAUAUCACUCUCACCACUGAGGACUUCAAAGUUGUAAAGAGCACGAGGAUGCCGCAGACUUUGAUUAGAAUAGUCCUUUUCUAUUUUCCAAUAAAACGGCAAAUGUGCCUUAGUCAACAAAUGACAAUUGUAUUGACUCUUUCUCAUGUGGCGUACCCAAUGAAGUAUGAUGUCUAGGAAAGUAAUUGAGAUCGGGGUAUUUAAGCGAGCCUCGCUCCACCAACAUCUCUCUACUUCCCUGGUCAUAUUUCAUUGGAAUUACCAAACGGAUUGGCAAUUACAAUUUGUAUAAGUUUGAUUUUAUUUUGGAAUAGAUUUUGGAAACUUUGAUGUAA